GCAAAAGGGGCACCCAGGCGCUCACUUGCUUCAAGAGGGGGUUCUGGCUAUGAUGACUACAGGUCUGGGCGGGGCUCCAGGGAUUACCCUGACAGGUAUGACAGGCGCAGCAGUGGGGGUCCUCGUGGUGGCCGCUACAGAUCACCCUCUCCCUCACGACGAAGAUCUCGAUCACGCUCACGUGAUAGAAGAAGGCGAAGUCGUAGCCGCUCCCAUAGCAGCAGGAGAAGAAGGAGAUCCAGUUCCAUCAGUCCGCGUAGGUCUAGCAAGAGGUCGCGAUCAAGGUCACCAAGCAAGUCCAGAAGUAGGUCAAGGUCACCACAAAGUAAAUCAAGGAGUCGAUCUCCCCCAAGAAACGGGCAGCUAAAUGAUGAUAAAUCUCCGUCACGGAGCCCUGUUGAUGAUUGAAUCAAAACUUUUUAAAUGUCUGACAUUGUGAUUUUCAGUUAUGCAUUUCAUGCAGAUUCAACCAUCGAUGGUAUGUUUCAGAGCUGUAGCCAAACUGUUUUAUACAACAUUUUUUCAUGAUUUUUUAUUUUUGUUGACAUUUGAACAGAAAGUUUGUCUUGAGACAAUUUAAAGUGAUGGUAUUUGAGUAUUUUAUUAGUUUAACGAUCGGUAAUGUUUCUACUAGGGUUUUUUUAUGGUAGGGGGAAGACAGGGACUGCGAUGUUGAAUUUCAUUUGAUUUUAGUUACAUUAAAAAAUACUAUUACUUUUGAAAUGUUCUCACUUAGAAUUAUAACAUACGUAAUCAAAUGACAUGUAUAUUUGAAAGAAAAAAACCGGUUGAAUAUAAAUGUACAUGAUUAUUUCUGUUAGUCAAAGAUUGUUUUUACUUCAUUAUGUAGGUAUAUAUGUGUCUUGUUUUGUUUACCAACAUGUUGUGCAUUGUAAAGUUAUUAAUGAGAUAUGAAAAGUAUUACUUUUAAUGAAUUGAUGGUUGUACAUUUGUGCCCACCAACCUUCUCAAAUCGAAAUAAAAUGCAAAUUUUCA
rnacentral:misc_RNA from 1 species